CUCCCACACAGAGAAACCCACUUGUUACAUUGCUGAGAGUAGACAGGGUGAGAGUGUUUUGAUGAUUCUAUCACAAAUGGGGAACAGAAUUAACUGCAUUUCAAGCCCAGUUGUGUGUGUUAGUCUGAGCGCAGAAGUCAACACACUUCAGAUUCCUGGAAAAUAUUCAAGGAUUUAUAUUCUGUGCAAAGGGUUUAAAAAGCAAUCUGCUGCUGGUUAAAAGCAGCUUGUCCCAGUUCCCUCUGCAGCCAGCAGUCUGGAGCAGUUGAAGCCAAGCCAGUAUUCCUGUGAGGGGGAAAAGAGGGAGAAAUUGAAGUAACAGAAAUGCAUGUGCAGGGUUAUGUCACAUGAGACCAGUGAGAAACAUUUAUGAAUAAGGGAUCAAUGCAGAGUGUUGAUCAUGAAGAAAUAUUGAUGCAUAGUCCCUCAGUGCAGAAGGUGUUACCUUACAGAUACACAGAGUCCAGUCCUGAAAUAGUACAGGAGGGAUGGAAAAUAGCUCCCACAAUGUGUUCUGAUACUUGAACCGUAAGCACAGCCUCCUGUCAGCAGAAAUCUUUCUGGAAAAGAGCAGCUUCUUCAAAAUGUGCAUAAAAUGUAGAGUAAAAGAAGGAAUGGAAAAUAGUGGGAAAAGUACAUAGUAACACACAAGCAGUUGGCCUGUUUUAUAUGACAGUGUAGUAGACAGUGUACUAGAGGUGGGUAAAUGUUGUUUAAUUUUAUGACAGUCCAUGGUCAGUCUGAAGUUGUGCAUUUCUCCGUAGGUCUUCACUUGGUCACUUAUUUGUCUCUCCUCUUAAAAGAGAUAGAGGGCAUGUCUGUGGAAAGUCAAUUGUAAUUUUCAUGGAAAAAAAACCCAAACAUUUGGACUCAAAACUUUCUGCUGCAGUGCCAGAGAAACAAGGGAACAAUUUCAUUAGCAUUUAUGGAAAACAUGAGCAAGUGCAGUGCAAGAAGUGUACCCAAGCUCUUGUUUUUUUAUCUUGCACCGUAAAAAACACUGGCAAGAGAUAUUGUGGGGGGUGAUGAGGUGGAGAGGAGUCCUCUAUGUAUGACAUUUCAGAAAUCUUCCUAUGAGUGAAGUUAUCUGCAUUUAAAAAGCAAGCAAACCUAUCUAGAAAUGUAUGCUAUAAAUGAGAUCUUCCUAAAUCACAGAUAGAUCACAUGUGUUUGUUAAUGAUGAAAAUUAAUCCAGUAAAGCUGACUAAUCUAGUAGAGUGCUUUCCCAACGUGGUGUGCCCUCAUUUGCCUUUUUGAGUAACUUGUGGAGGAGCAACAGGAAGAUCUUCUGAACAUUAGAUGACUCGACAAUGGACUAGAACAGAAAAAUAACUUCAGGGGGUUUUAUUCUUUGCGCAUUGCAUCACUUCUGGACAGUAUGCCUAGCCUAAAGAAAACUAUGCUUUUUAAAAGAGGAUGUACACCAUCAGCAAACUGAAGUGUGGAAAUGUAUGGAUACCACUUAAAGAUAAGAGCACUUUCUUCACUGAGUUUUUUUUUACUACGAUAAUGUACUUGGCAUCUUCUGGUCAGUUAUAAUUAGGGAAGAUGAUUUUUGUAAGUAUUGUUAUUUUUGCAGUACUCGGUAAGAAUUUAUUCUUGCUGAUGGUAGCUGAAUCUUAGGGAAUUACUGUUCUCAUGGAAAAUGGUGCUCUCAAAGAACAGUACUAACUGUCACAGAUCCAUGAUUUUCAGGCAGUCAUUCUCAGCAGGAGUUCACACAGUGUUCAAACAAGUUCAGUGUUGUUUGCACUGAUAGGGUACCAAGUGAGCACUCCACCCAAAAGCAGAGCUGAGGUCUUGGAGAGAGCAUUGCUGAACAAAGGCACAGUCAGGAAGGAGCUGGAAAUUAUGAUGUUCAGAACUAUUGUUCAGUGCCACCAUCUCUAUCCCAAAUCCCCCAAAUUUUCACAUUCAGGGCUUUGAUUCAGGCUGACUUCUCAUUGAUGUUGAUUGUUUUCAGACUUUUUUUUUUUCAUUUUCUCCUGUCAAGAUCUGUCAAAAGAAUUCAGCUCUCUCAGAAGUGCCUUUAUUCUGCUCUAUAUUUCUUUUAUUGAGUUCUUGGCACAAAGCGAAAAACUAUUCCUAGCUAUUAGAGUAGCUGUGUGAACUGGGAAAGCAUCCAACUUCUAGAAAGAUAUUUAAAGGCUUCAAGAAGAUUCAAAUUUCCAAAUAAUUUUUACUCCUUUGCUUGGUUGGCUGUCAGUAUUUGAUAAACAGGGUGGACUACUGUCAAUAUUUAACAGCUCAACACAAAUAUUAUUCAUACAUUGUAAAAAUAGCAUAUGAAAUGCAAAUCAAGUGCUUUAGCCUAGGUUCAGUAGUAACAGAAGCAAACGAUAAAAUCUCCCUUGCUUCCAUACAAAGGCAUAGAGAGGGAAGAAAAUGUUACCAGUGGUAGCAGUCUUCCCUGCUGGGACACAAAAACGUGAGACUCCCCACUCCUCCCACCUAAAGUCAUGUCCAAAGGCAGGGUUUCAUGGUAGAAAUUUGCUGUGAAGUGUUUGAGUAAGAAGCAGCAAGGUACGACUAUUAGUUCAAACCAGAUUACCAGAAGUCUUCAGUAACAGAGCUCUGUCUCCAGCAGCACACCACCAGGACCCCUUGAACUGCUCUGCAGUCCUACAUUGCCAUACAAAACCAAAUUACUUCUAUACCUUUCCCUAUAUUUAGAAAAAUCCUCCCCAAAAGCCACUAUUUGGCAUUAUUAUGACUAUUAUGAUUCUAUGAUUAGCUUACUGGAUGGAGCAGCCUGCCCUCUCCAUAGUCAUGUGCAACAUGACUACAGUUUAUCCUCAUUUAGAAAAUCAAGAUGCAGUGUAGUUGGUGUGAGAUGGGUUUAAUGAGUGUCAGAAGUAGGCGUAGGUGUCACUUCCCAAUCCUGUGUUCCCAAAUGGUUUCCCAUGAUUUUAAAUCUUUAGAAGGAUGUAAUAUGUGGUUCAGUACUAUCUGAAGGAAAGAACCUGAGUGUCAUGUGGCUCAGCCACAGCCAGGCUCAGCAAGAACCGAGCUUAGCUCACAGGGCAGUAUGGGUGCUGCUCAGCCCAGCCUCCCUCAGCAGCAUUACUUUUGAUGGUAGCUAGAUUAAGCCACCACCCACACAAAACAAAGGGUACAGACCAGAGCCAGUUUAUGCAGGAGACUUUCAAACCUAGCAUUGUUUCAGAUUUGGCUUUGGUCCAGUGUAAAAUGCAUUUGGUGUGUUCCAAGAGCUGCCCUGUAGAGAGGAGCCUGAGGUAGCGGGAAACAGUUAUUAGCGUUGUAGUUUGCUGGUUACUCUGCAAACAAGCAUGAGCAGCUUCAGGAAGGAACAGAAAUAACAGUGAAACAUUUCUUCUCCAUUUUGUCCAAAGCAGUCAGACUGCUUUACCAUUAGUUAAAACUAGUUCUGUCCCAAAUCCUUUGCUAGGACUACUGCGCUGUUAAUGUGUUUCAACUGUCAGCCACAGAGGUCAGAUCUUCAAAGCCCAUUCCAUCCUUUUCCCCACCACACAGAGUAGUGCUCCAUUAAGAACUAGAAAGCUGAGCAAUCUUGACUUACAGACUGAAGGACUUUAAGCACAUCAUGUUGCUGUGUUGUUCCAUUCCUGUUUUGUCUUAGCUUUCUCCUUAGCCACAAUAGAGCAAUGGUACUGUCUUUGCUCAUGAAAUCCUUCAAAAUUUAAUGAUAAGAUACUACAGAUUUCUAAGACCUUUCAGACUUGGGCAAAUAUCACAUCAGUAACAAAUAAUUCAUAUAAACAGACAAAUACACACUUCAUAAUUGAUGGCACAAAGAAACAAAUGAAAAA